AGGGAGUGUGGCACUGAGCCGGCUCAGGCAGAGACGCGGCACCAUGGCUAGCAAGAAAGUCUGCAUUGUAGGCUCCGGGAACUGGGGCUCAGCCAUCGCCAAGAUCGUGGGUGGCAAUGCAGCCCAGCUGGCACAGUUUGACCCACGGGUGACCAUGUGGGUAUUUGAGGAAGACAUUGGAGGCAAAAAGCUGACUGAGAUCAUCAACACGCAGCAUGAGAAUGUCAAAUACCUGCCAGGGCACAAGUUGCCCCCAAAUGUGGUGGCUGUCCCAGAUGUGGUCCAGGCUGCAGAGGAUGCUGACAUCCUGAUCUUUGUGGUGCCCCAUCAGUUCAUCGGCAAGAUCUGUGACCAGCUCAAGGGCCAUCUGAAGGCAAACGCCACUGGCAUAUCUCUUAUUAAGGUGCCAGGGACACCUUCAUGUGGAUGGGGGAGGGUGCGGCUCACUGUUGUGGGGUUCAGGGUGGGUGAAGCAAGGAGAACAGAAAAUGGCAGACGCAGGCCAAGAGUUUGCUGGAGAAAAGAGAGGCAGUUGGCUCUGGAGAGGCUUAGGAAAGCAGUGAGGUGCUGGGUUGGAAGGGAGGCUGAAGGGAGGAGACAAGAGAUUGGUUUGGAGGUCCUCUCGGGGAGUUUCAGAGGUAUAAAGGAAUGCCUGGGAGAUAUGAGAAGCGGGCUGGUUUGAGAAGUGUGAAGAGUAGCUGGUUUGGAGCAGUGACUGGUCACUGAAUGGCAGUUUGUUGGGGCAGUCAGGCGG
rnacentral:sRNA from 1 species